UGCGGUAGGGGGUUGCGACAUGGAAUUUCUAUCUUGCCUUUUACCAGACAGAACCGGUUUUGGCCCUUUAUAUGCCGCAUGCUAUUUUUUUUGGACAUAUUUAUAUCUCA
rfam:Pneumocystis jirovecii, SE8, WGS project CAKM01000000 data, contig: 145